rnacentral:piRNA from 1 species
UUUAAGUGAAGGCUUGUGCAUUGAGU